GAUAUCAGGCUUUGAGCAGCGUCACUGUUGAGGAACGUAUUCAGAAUCGUGGACAAACUGCAACAGCACUGAAGUAAAAUACGAACCAAGACGAAGGUGAACAAAUAUGUUUUGAGCUGAGCUGGACUACUUAUCCGAACUUUGAUCUUUUUAAGAAACCGAAAGAAUCUGUCAUGGGACAACAACUGGGGCGGAGGGAUGACUCUUGGCCACCCAUCAUGACAAAUGAUUGGAUAGCCCAGAUGCAAUACCAAUAUCCUAGUGCACCAUUGCCCAUUUACACCUUUCCUCAUGCAUGGGAGUCUGAAGCAUCAGCAGUCAGACAUAAGACAGACCUGGAGAAGGCUAUAGACACUCUGGCUAAUCCAUCCAGGGGACUGGGCACUUUUUUGGAACGGAUGGCGGUGAGAAGAAGACAAUCUAUCAGCUAUGAGGACUUCUGGGCUCUGGUUAAAGUAGACGCCUACAACAUCCAUAUCCUCCAACAUUCCUAUAGAGCUUAGCAGAGUUGAUGGGAUUUUUAUUAUUUUUUUUAUUUUUUAGAAAUAUUAUCUCAGUCCACAUCUGGAAGUUAGUUGAAUGCCUUCUCGGGGACACCUCUAUUGCUUCCAGUGGCCAAACUUUAUUUUUAGGACCAGUAUGAACUGUUUUGAGUUUUUUUUUUAGUUUGUUUUGAUGCUUUUUUGUAGCAUGAUGAUAACAAAUGUCACGUUUCACAAUGUAAUGGAUGUGUUAAGUAAGUCAUCGCAAUGGUGAUCAUUGUUUGUUACAUGUUAAAAGAUAUGUGUAAUUACAUGUCACUAGGGGGUGGAAGGAUAUAUAGUAGGUAAAGAGUUUCUGGGAGUAGAGUGUGCUUUGUCUUGUUUGUCAUUAAACUUCAGACGUGUU